GGCAAUUUCUGCUGCUAUUCCAGCCUAACAGUCUGGUUUAUAGAAGAAGGUGAAAAAGGAGAAAGAAAAGAUAUGGAAAAGAAGGGAAAGAUGAUCCAACUAAUGACAUCGUUUGACCCAGAUAUGGAAGUGGUUGAUUUUUCCUGAACAGCUGGCUGGACUUAAAAUCUCCAAAGAAUGCCCUUAUCUUUGAAAAACACAGUGCCGCAUUUAUGAAGUCAUAAAAACCCCUGGAAAAGGAGCAAAAUUCAAGACAAACCAUUACUAAGGUCAUUUGAUCCUCGUGGCAAUUCCAUGUUACAAAGGCAAAACCAGGCAUCCAGAUACCGAGAAAUGUGUCCGAGGCUGCCGGUCCCAGACAUCUGAAGCCAAGCGGUCUGACUUCAGAAUCACCAUGGAACUACCGUGGUAUACAAAGUCCUCUUUCUGCUCUUUGAUAUUGGCCUGGUAUAAAAUAAAAUAAAGA